rnacentral:rRNA from 1 species
UGGCUCAGAUUGAACGCUGGCGGGAUGCUUUACACAUGCAAGUCGAACGGCAGCACGGACUUCGGUCUGGUGGCGAGUGGCGAACGGGUGAGUAAUGUAUCGGAACGCCUAGUAGCGGGGGAUGGGAACUACGCGAAAAGCGUAGCUAAUACCGCAUACCGCUCUUCGGGGAAAGUGGGGACCUUCGGGCCUCGCACUAUUAGAGCGGCCGAUAUCGGAUUAGCUAGUUGGUGGGGUAACGGCUCACCAAGCGCGACGAUCCGUAGCUGGUUUGAGAGGACGACCAGCCAAUUGGACUGAGACACGGCCCAGACUCCUACGGAGGCAGCAGUGGGGAAUUUUGGACAAUGGGGAAACUCCUGAUCCAGCCAUCCCGCGUGUGCGAUGAAGGCCUUCGGGUUGUAAAGCACUUUUGGCAGGAAAGAAACGGCACGGGAUAAUACCCCGUGCAACUGACGGUACCUGCAGAAUAAGCGCACUGGCUAACCAUUACGUGCCAGCAGCCGCGGUAAUACGUGAGGGCAAGCGUUAAUCGGAAUUACUGGGCGUAAAGUGUGCGCAGGCGGUUCGGAAAGAAAGAUGUGAAAUCCCAGAGCUUAACUUUGGAACUGCAUUUUUAACUACCGAGCUAGGAAAGUGUGUCAGAGGGAGGUGGAAUUCCGCGUGUAGCAGUGAAAUGCGUAGAUAUGCGGAGGAACACCGAUGGCGAAGGCAGCCUCCUGGGAUAACACUGACGCUCAUGCACGAAAGCGUGGGAGCAAACAGGAUUAGAUACCCUGGUAGUCCACGCCCUAAACGAUGUCAACUAGCUGUUAGCCUUCGGGCCUUGGUAGCGCAGCUAACGCGUGAAGUUGACCGCCUGGGGAGUACGGUCGCAAGAUUAAAACUCAAAGGAAUUGACGGGACCCGCACAAGCGGUGGAUGAUGUGGAUUAAUUCGAUGCAACGCGAAAAACCUUACCUACCCUUGACAUGUCUGGAAUCCCGAAGAGAUUUGGGAGUGCUCGUAAGAGAACCGGAACACAGGUGCUGCAUGGCUGUCAGUCGCUUCCGUGUCGAGAUGUUGGGUUAAGUCCUGCAACGAGCGCAACCUUGUCAUUAGUUGCUACGAAAGGGCACUCUUAAUGAGACUGCCGGUGACAAACCGGAGGAAGGUGAUGACGUCAAGUCCUCAUGGCCCUUAUGGGUAGGGCUUCACACGUCAUACAAUGGUCGGGACAGAGGGUCGCCAACCCGCGAGGGGGAGCCAAUCCCAGAAACCCGAUCGUAGUCCGGAUCGCAGUCUGCAACUCGACUGCGUGAAGUCGGAAUCGCUAGUAAUCGCGGAUCAGCAUGUCGCGGUGAAUACGUUCCCGGGUCUGAAUACACCGCCCGUCACACCAUGGGAGUGGGUUUUACCAGAAGUAGUUAGCCUAACCGUAAGGAGGGCGAUUACCACGGUAGGAUUCAUGACUGGGGUGAAGUCGUAACAAGGUAA